rnacentral:rRNA from 1 species
GUCUAUGGCCAUACUACCUUGAACAAGCCCAAUUCUGUCUGAUCUCAGAAACUAAGUAGGGUCGGGCCUGGUCAGUACUUGGAUGGGAGACCAUCUAGGAAGACUAGAUGCUGUAGGCA